rnacentral:rRNA from 1 species
UACGUAGGGACCGAGCGUUGUCCGGAUUCAUUGGGCGUAAAGAGCUCGUAGGCGGCUGUUCAAGUCGAACGUGAAAACUCGGAGCUCAACUCCGAGCCUGCGUUCGAUACUGGACGGCUAGAGUCUGGUAGGGGGAUCUGGAAUUCCUGGUGUAGCGGUGGAAUGCGCAGAUAUCAGGAGGAACACCGGUGGCGAAGGCGGAUCUCUGGGCCUGUUCUGACGCUGAGGCGCGAAAGCUAGGGGAGCGAACAGG